AGAGUGACAGAAAGCUCAGGGCGCGUGCACCGCCAACCGCUGGAUUUAACUGUUUCCCGCGUUGGCGCGAGACUGUCACGAGAACUGCGCGUGCGCGAACGAAGUCGGCCUCGUGCCGCUGUGCAGAUUUCAGAGCUGAAUGAUGUCCUCAGAUGUAUCUCAGAGAUGGAACCUAUCUCAAAGUGACAAAAGAGCUGAAGCAUGAUAUUCUUGAGGAGCUCGCUGAGACCAUGUAUGCAUUUGAUGCAUACCCAGCAAAGAGAGAUUAUGAAGCUGUUGCAAAAGCCUUCGUAGAAACACACUCGUGUCUUAAAGAAUCUGGGUCAUCCUCUGGCUGGGAUGGAUGGAAGAACAGCCUCAAAUUCAAGAUGGGUAAUUAUAGAACCAAAAUGCGCCAGUUGGGUCGACUGAUGUCACUAUCAACGGUGGUAAACAUGAAAGAUACAGUACACAUGCCGCCCCUCCCAACAAAGCCAUCAAGAAACCAAGGAAGGGGAUAUUAACUCCCUACCUGAAUAUCUAGAGGGGUUGGAUGACCACUACCCGGAAGAAGCUCGUCAAUCCCUGGUCACAGAAAUGAUUAAGACAAAGCCAAAUGGAUCCCUUGUUUAGAAAGUGAUGGACAAGCCGUUUACUCUUCUGAGAAAAUAAGUUGUUAAAGACAAGCCCUCUUGACAGAAAGCCAGGUUUAUUACGAGUUCAACAGGGUGGUGGGAAAAAAAAAUCUCAGAGAGGACUUCUUUGAUGCACUUGACCGUUUCUCUCCAAGCCUGAUGGACCUGUUCAGGAAAAAGAGAGACCUCACUGGCCAGCUUUUGGCUGGGCUUUUAUGUCAGA